CCCUUAGACGUUCUGGGCCGCACGCGCGCUACACUGACGGAGCCAGCGAGUAUAAACCUUGGCCGAGAGGUCUGGGAAAUCUUGUGAAACUCCGUCGUGCUGGGGAUAGAGCAUUGUAAUUAUUGCUCUUCAACGAGGAAUUCCUAGUAAACGCAAAUCAUCAAUUUGCAUUGAUUACGUCCCUGCCCUUUGUACACACCGCCCGUCGCACCUACCGAUUGAAUGGUCCGGUGAAGCCUCGGGAUUGUGGCCAGUUCACUUUAUUGGGAGUUGGCUGCGAGAACUUGUCUAAACCUUAUCAUUUAGAGGAAGGUGAAGUCGUAACA
rnacentral:rRNA from 1 species